rnacentral:tRNA from 1 species
GCUGGGGUGGCGGAAUUUGGCAGACGCAGCGGACUUAAAAUCCGUGGCCGAAAGGCGUGAGGGUUCGAAUCCCUCCCCCGGUACCA